GUGCUCACUUCUGCAGCAUAUAUACUAAAACUGAAAUGAUAGAGAAGAUAGCAUGGCCUCUGCACAAGGAUGACAUGCAAAUCGCGAAGUGUUCCAUAACAAA
rnacentral:snRNA from 1 species